rnacentral:rRNA from 1 species
GUUGACCUCGGAUCACGUAGGGAUA